UCAUGUUUAUUGACUUAAUUCUUUCUGUGAAAUAGGACAUUUGCCACUGAUCAGUGGUGUUCUCUCGACACUUAUAAUUCUCUUAGUUGUGGUUGUAACAGCAAUCUGUGCUCAACGGAAAAAGCAAGCCAGCAAAACAAAAGAGGAAGAAAAUGAUCAGGAAGAAAUCUUUGCUGAUCUCAGGGUCGUGAAACGGCAGGCGAAACAACUGGAGAAAAGAGAGGAGAGUUUGGCCAAGUCAAGUACUCAAAGUGUCCUCGGCAGACUGAACCAACAGGAGAUGAUUGUUUGUAUGUUAACGUUCAUAAAUUCAGGUGAUUUAAGUGUUCAGUGCUUCUACACAGACUGCAUCACUGAAGAUCCAUGGAGAGAGGAGCUGAUGUUAAAAUGUCUAAAGGUCUUUCAUUUAAUGUGAUUUCCCAUCAGAAAAAUGUAAAAGAGCUAAUACUUACUGAUUUAUUUUACUUUCAUCUGUAUUAUACCAGAGGAUUACACAUGUAUUCUUUUAUGAUCUCUUGAUUUACAGAUAGUAUGUUACAUAAACACUGUGAGUGUUUUCUGCUUUUGUAUUCUGCAGACGCUCUAAUAGAACAUUUUUAUUUAGGAGUUUUUCUUUUUCCAUGUGAACUUGUCUAGUUUUUGACUUGGUAGAAGUUGCACCAGAUGAUCCUUAAAUUAGAAAUAAAUAAAGUAAAUGGCGUUUGUACAAAUUUCAGUGCAGCAAAACCUUUGGACAGUGAUAAAACAUCCAGAUAUCAACAGUUUAACCUUUAGUCAAUACAUUUCCUCACAGAUUUCCUAAAAGAGACACUGAUAUUCAAAUGACAUUCUCAAGGGAAAGGUGUGUGAGUCACCAUCAUUGUAUUUGCUGCAGUUGUAUCACUUGGAAGAGGCUGUGAGGUUUCCUUUAAGGCAAAGCAGGACUCAAAUGGACUUAAUGGACAAUUAAUUUAUUUAGAAGCGUCAAAAUGUGCAACAAACAAUCCCAAAACUCGAUUCUCACAGUUGUGAUGAUCCAGAUUCCAAGAUGCCAGUGAUUCUCUUCAACAGGCUGCUCUCCACUGGUUUCUGUGCACAAGAGGAGACAGGUAAGUUUCUUCACAAGAUAACAAGAAGCACAACAAACCAGCACAAGACCUGGAGUUACACUGACUGUAGUUCCUCAAUGAUCCAGCGAAGACUGAGUAGCUCAGGUAGUGACUCUUGAGACGCUUUAAAAUGGAGACCUGAUGCUAUCUUUUGAGGUGGUGUAUCUUUGAAAUAUAUAUAAAAAACAAAAACCUAUUGAAACAAAUUAUGAUAGUACUCAAAGUAAAGUCCAAAAAAGGGGAAAAAGGUGUAUCUGGUCAACAAAUCAGUCUGAAGGAGUAUUAUUAUUUAUUACCACGAGAUGGUGCCAUUAUGCAGUAUUCUAUUACUGUUUUAACUGUGUUUUAGUUACUUAUCUGACUUUAUUGUAAAGAAGAGGUCUUCAAGAUUUGUACUAUUAAAACUUUAAAGCUUUAAAGAUGAACUGUAACUAUUUUAAUUAUAUUUUUGUAUAUAUUCUCACAAAACCUCAGUUUUUAAAUAUGAAAGCAAUCAUUUUAGUACACAGUGUUUGCAAAUAGUUAUUAGUCAACAUCCGGAGUGACCUAUUCUUGUUUGACAGAUAUUGAAAUUCUGAGAUCAAUUUCAUAUGUAUUUGCACUUAAAGUUAAAAUACACUUAAAAUAUAGUUAUGGCAGAAGAACUGUUUAAAUAAUAUCUAACUAAUUUUAAUCAGUUUAACUAGCUCCAUCACUGUUUUAUUAAU
rnacentral:lncRNA from 1 species